rnacentral:rRNA from 1 species
GUGGGGAAUCUUGCGCAAUGGGCGAAAGCCUGACGCAGCCAUGCCGCGUGAAUGAUGAAGGUCUUAGGAUUGUAAAAUUCUUUCACCGGGGACGAUAAUGAUGGUACCCGGAGAAGAAGCUCCGGCUAACUUCGUGCCAGCAGCCGCGGUAAUACGAAGGGGGCUAGCGUUGCUCGGAAUUACUGGGCGUAAAGGGCGCGUAGGCGGACAGCUUAGUCAGAGGUGAAAGCCCAGGGCUCAACCUUGGAAUUGCCUUUGAUACUGGCUGUCUUGAGUUUGGGAGAGGUGAGUGGAACUCCGAGUGUAGAGGUGAAAUUCGUAGAUAUUCGGAAGAACACCAGUGGCGAAGGCGACUCACUGGCCCAAUACUGACGCUGAGGCGCGAAAGCGUGGGGAGCAAACAGGAUUAGAAACCCGUGUAGUCC